rnacentral:tRNA from 1 species
GGCGCCGUGGCUCAGUUGGUUAAAGCGCCUGUCUAGUAAACAGGAGACCCUGGGUUCAAAUCCCAGCGGUGCCU